rnacentral:rRNA from 1 species
CCCUAUGGGGUGCAGCAGGCAUAAACGAGUUGAGACAUAUGUUCACUGCUGCUCUUUACAUGCAGAGAAUAUAUCAUCAAAGGAACUGAAGCCAGGCUAAAUAUCAGUCCGAAUAGAAAGCUCAAUUUGUCUACCCGUCCGAAGACCAGCUCGUAGCCUAGAAAUGGCAGACGCCACGCCAAAAAGGGAAUCUCUCCGAAUGUUCCGGCGUACAUGAGAAUAACGACUAUGAGCGACGUGACGGGGAGAAGAAUCAAGUAUACCUGCUUGUACUUCCCCUUAAAAAGCGGUACUAAUAACGCCCCAAUUAUCAAUAUAAGUCCUGGAUGCAGCCAUUGCAUCAUUCGAUCCUCCCUCCUUUCUUCUCGUAAUAAUCCUCAUCGCGGGAGGGC